AAAAAUUUUUUUCCAUCCCCUCGUAACUGAUGUUUGGUUAGGCCAUCUCUAACGUGACACUAAAUUGGUGUAAAACACAAAUUUGCUGUCAAAAACAGCUGCAAUGUAGACACCAAGUUGGUGUCCAGCGUCACGCCUGAAAAAAAAAAUGGUGUUUAUGCUACAGUUGGACACCAAAUUUGGAGUCCAACUGUAGCUAACAUCAUUUUUUCUUUUGGUGGGC
rnacentral:miRNA from 1 species